AGCGAAUGGAUUAAGAGCUUGCUCUUAUGAAGUUAGCGGCGGACGGGUGAGUAACACGUGGGUAACCUGCCCAUAAGACUGGGAUAACUCCGGGAAACCGGGGCUAAUACCGGAUAACAUUUUGAACCGCAUGGUUCGAAAUUGAAAGGCGGCUUCGGCUGUCACUUAUGGAUGGACCCGCGUCGCAUUAGCUAGUUGGUGAGGUAACGGCUCACCAAGGCAACGAUGCGUAGCCGACCUGAGAG
rnacentral:rRNA from 2 species